AGUGAACGCUGGCGGCGUGCCUAAUACAUGCAAGUCGAACGGAGUGGCGCACGGGUGAGUAAUGUAUAGCUAAUCUGCCCUACACUAGAGGACAACAGUUGGAAACGGCUGCUAAUACUCUAUAGUGUAGGAUGAGGCUAUAUUGUAUCAGAUAGUUGGUGAGGUAAUGGCUCACAAAGGCUAUGACGGAUAACUGGUCUGAGAGGAUGAGCAGUCACGCUGGAACUGAGACACGGUCCGGACUCCUACGGGAGGGAGCAGUAGGGGAUAAUGCUAAAUGGGGGAGACCCUGAAGGAGCAACGCCGCGUGGAGGAUGACACUUUUCGGAGCGUAAAGUCCUUGUGUAAGGGAAGCGGUACCUAACGAAUAAGCACCGGCUAACUCCGUGCCAGCAGCCGCGGUAAUUC
rnacentral:rRNA from 1 species